rnacentral:rRNA from 1 species
GACGAACGCUGGCGGCGUGCUUAACACAUGCCAGUCGAACGGAAAGGCCCUGCUUUUGUGGGGUGCUCGAGUGGCGAACGGGUGAGUCACACGUGAGUAACCUGCCCUUGACUUUGGGAUAACUUCAGGAAACUGGGGCUAAUACCGGAUAGGAGCUCCUGCUGCAUGGUGGGGGUUGGAAAGUUUCGGCGGUUGGGGAUGGACUCGCGGCUUAUCAGCUUGUUGGUGGGGUAGUGGCUUACCAAGGCUUUGACGGGUAGCCGGCCUGAGAGGGUGACCGGCCACAUGGGGACUGAGAUACGGCCCAGACUCCUACGGGAGGCAGCAGGGGGGAAUAUGGCACAAUGGGCGGAAGCCUGAUGCAGCAACGCCGCGGGCGGGAGGACGGCCUUCGGGUUGUAAACCGCUUUCGCCUGGGACGAAGCGUGAGUGACGGUAAUGGGUAAAGAAGCACCGGCUAACUACGUG